CCUACGUGGGGCAGCAGUGGGGAAUAUUGGACAAUGGGGGCAACCCUGAUCCAGCCAUGCCGCGUGUGUGAAGAAGGCCUUUUGGUUGUAAAGCACUUUAAGCAGUGAAGAAGACUCUAUGGUUAAUACCCAUAGACGAUGACAUUAGCUGCAGAAUAAGCACCGGCUAACUCUGUGCCAGCAGCCGCGGUAAUACAGAGGGUGCAAGCGUUAAUCGGAAUUACUGGGCGUAAAGCGAGCGUAGGUGGCUUAAUAAGUCAGAUGUGAAAUCCCCGGGCUUAACCUGGGAACUGCAUCUGAUACUGUUGGGCUAGAGUAGGUGAGAGGGAGGUAGAAUUUCAGGUGUAGCGGUGAAAUGCGUAGAGAUCUGAAGGAAUACCGAUGGCGAAGGCAGCCUCCUGGCAUCAUACUGACACUGAGGUUCGAAAGCGUGGGUAGCAAACAGGAUUAGAUACCCCAGUAGUC
rnacentral:rRNA from 1 species